rnacentral:rRNA from 1 species
GACAGAGGCCUCAAGCGUUAGGCGGAAUCACUGGGCUUAAAGCGUGUGUAGGCGGAUGCCUAAGUACCUUGUGAAAUCCCACGGCUCAACCGUGGAACUGCUGGGUAUACUGGGCGUCUUGGGCCAUUCAGGGGCGACUGGAACAAGCGGUGGAGCGGUGAAAUGCGUAGAUAUCGGAAGGAACAUCAGUGGCGAAAGCGACUUCCUGGACCAAUACUGACGCUCAUGUGCGAAAGCGUGGGGAGCAAACAGG